UGCGCAGGCGGGCUAUUAAGUCAGUGGUGAAAUCUCUCGGCUCAACCGAGAAACUGCCAUUGAAACUGAUAGUCUUGAGUAUGGUUGUGGUAGGCGGAAUAUAGCAUGUAGCGGUGAAAUGCUUAGAUAUGCUAUAGAACACCGAUCGCGAAGGAAGCUUACCAAGCCAUUACUGACGCUCAUGCACGAAAGCGUGGGGAGCAAACAGGAUUAGAUACCCUGGUAGUCC
rnacentral:rRNA from 1 species